UACGAAGGGGGCUAGCGUUGCUCGGAAUCACUGGGCGUAAAGGGCGCGUAGGCGGCUUUUUAAGUCGGGGGUGAAAGCCUGUGGCUCAACCACAGAAUUGCCUUCGAUACUGGAAAGCUUGAGACCGGAAGAGGACAGCGGAACUGCGAGUGUAGAGGUGAAAUUCGUAGAUAUUCGCAAGAACACCAGUGGCGAAGGCGGCUGUCUGGUCCGGUUCUGACGCUGAGGCGCGAAAGCGUGGGGAGCAAACAGG
rnacentral:rRNA from 2 species